CAGGUCAGUGCAGUGUUCUCCUGGGGGUCAGUGCCGGGCAGCACAGAAAGUCCCAAAUUCUCAGCAGCAUCCAGAACUGCAGCACAUUUCCUCCCUCCUGGUGAUGGGACCAAAAUCUCUGCUGGAGCAGGAAUUAUCUUGUGUACAACUUCUAUUGAAACAGCUCUCCUACACAACCAAAACAACGACUCCCAGCACCCUGAAAUGAGCAGAUUAUUGAAUUAUUUCUGUGAAUAAAGGCGAAGAAUGGCCCGUGCAUGGCUCCAGCAGCAUUAACACACAGAGCUGCGCUGAUGCAGCCGGGAGCUGAAAUAUUGACCAGAAGAAAUAACUCCGAGGCAGAAAUGAGGCUGGCUAAAAGCAGGGCUGUGCUUUGGAGCAGCCCUGGUUGCCCCCCUGGCCUGCUUUGCUGUCAUUAAUAAAGGCAAAAGCGAGA